rnacentral:rRNA from 1 species
GUCAACCUACGGGGCGCAGCAGUGGGGGAUAUUGCACAAUGGGGGAAACCCUGAUGCAGCGACGCCGCGUGUGGGAAGACGGUCCUCUGGAUUGUAAACCACUGUCCCCAGGGACGAAGAUGACGGUACCUGGGGAGGAAGCUCCGGCUAACUACGUGCCAGCAGCCGCGGUAAUACGUAGGGAGCAAGCGUUGUCCGGAAUUACUGGGUGUAAAGGGCGUGUAGGCGGGAGCGCAAGUCAGAUGUGAAAACUCAGGGCUCAACCCUGAGCCUGCAUUUGAAACUGUGUUUCUUGAGUUCUGUAG